CCUAUGCAUUCCAACUUCACAACUUCAUGCAAAAACUCUACACACUACAGAAUUUCCUAGAAAACAUUAAAAAUAAUUAGCAGAUACUUCAGAUUGUGAUUUUCCCUCCUUUUUUUUGGAUCAACAGCAAACACAACGGAUAUAUGAAAAGUUGACGUAUCUGAUGUAUUUGAGUCCAUUUCUACACCUAAAUAAAAUUUGGAAAACGAUUUAGAGGGAGAGGGUACAAGGCUGAAAGCUGGGGCAUGUACCCUUAUUUAAUUAAUAAAAUACAAGCAAAAAAAAGAAAAAAGAAAAACGGUACCUUUCUAAACUUAAAUUACUAUGUAACUCUGCAGAUACAAAACAAGACACAUGGCUGUCUAACUGAUGUUAUAAUCUACAAUGGGAGGUCCGUUAUCCUAUGAAACUAACACGGACUUUGCCUUUUCAAUCAGAUUAUCUGUUAGUAUGAUCACUAUUUUAGGGAUAUAACUGGCUGAUAGUGAUGUCGUGAAUUUUUUGCGAAAGGUUCGCAAACGGUUCGCCACGGUUCGUGGCGAACUGUUUGCAGCGGACUCCAGUCAGCAGACACA